CCCAUCCUCUUGGGCAGCGACAGGAGCGCCCCGUUAAUCCUAGGUCGUCCCGUCUUCCACACAAAUUUUAUCAUCGCCGUAUUCAGCGUCUGAAAGAAGGUCCUGGGUAUCAUGAUUGGAACGGUCUGGAAGAGGUAAAGAAGCCGCGGAAGAAGGUUUAGUUUUAAGGCAUUGAUUCUCCCGAACCAUGAAAUGCACAGGCC